rnacentral:lncRNA from 1 species
GGAGAGCACGUGUGUUUUUAUGAGACUUAUGCCGAGAGAGAAGGAGACGGACUUACCCUCCACUGUGAGAGUUACCCGAAGCUCAGCGUCCGUGAUGGUCGAGGGGGCUUGCAAGGCAAUCGGGCAGCGUCAGUCUUCAGCCGCUAAGCCAAGAAGAUCUGGGAAGGAGUCAGAGAGCCUUGGGCCAGAGUUCCAGGGGCUCUGGGAGUGGCUGC